rnacentral:rRNA from 1 species
GACGAACGCUGGCGGCGUGCCUAAUACAUGCAAGUUGAGCGCUGAAGGUUGGUACUUGUACCCACUGGAUGAGCAGCGAACGGGUGAGUAACGCGUGGGGAAUCUGCCUUUGAGCGGGGGACAACAUUUGGAAACGAAUGCUAAUACCGCAUAAAAACUUUAAACACAAGUUUUAAGUUUGAAAGAUGCAAUUGCAUCACUCAAAGAUGAUCCCGCGUUGUAUUAGCUAGUUGGUGAGGUAAAGGCUCACCAAGGCGAUGAUACAUAGCCGACCUGAGAGGGUGAUCGGCCACAUUGGGACUGAGACACGGCCCAAACUCCUACGGGAGGCAGCAGUAGGGAAUCUUCGGCAAUGGACGAAAGUCUGACCGAGCAACGCCGCGUGAGUGAAGAAGGUUUUCGGAUCGUAAAACUCUGUUGGUAGAGAAGAACGUUGGUAAGAGUGGAAAGCUCAUCAAGUGACGGUAACUACCCAGAAAGGGACGGCUAACUACGUG